AUUGUGAGCUUCGUCAUUCGAGCUUUCGAGCUGAUCUCAUGUAUGAUUGGCCCAUAUAUAGCUAGCUGCACUCCCCUGCAGUAUCUCAUCGACCACUACCUUGCAGUAAGAGCGAACAUUAAUUUGUUGAUAAUUUCCACUGCACCUCUGCUGACCUCGUUGACAAAUAGUUUUGUCAUAAGGUAAUUCGUAACGGGUACCAAGUAACAAAUGUAACAAUGGUGCAGCAAGGUGGCCCAAUCCUUUUUGUAGAAAAGGACAAGUCUGGACAAACUCUUAUAUAAAUAAAAACGCUUCCGAGGAUACAUGGGAAUUUAUGUCAAGCUAGUUUUCAUCAUGCUCAUAUGAUUCGUGUUCGUUACAU
rnacentral:lncRNA from 1 species